UACGGAGGGUGCGAGCGUUAAUCGGAAUUACUGGGCGUAAAGCGCACGCAGGCGGUCUGUCAAGUCGGAUGUGAAAUCCCCGGGCUCAACCUGGGAACUGCAUCCGAAACUGGCAAGCUUGAGUCUCGUAGAGGGGGGUAGAAUUCCAUGUGUAGCGGUGAAAUGCGUAGAGAUGUGGAGGAAUACCGGUGGCGAAGGCGGCCCCCUGGACAAAGACUGACGCUCAUGUGCGAAAGCGUGGGGAGCAAACAGG
rnacentral:rRNA from 1 species